CCAUGUGCCUGGUCGGAACAAAAUCCAGGAUCACUGGAACCCCACUGUGUUUCAGGUGCUACGGAGGCCCUCUGGGACUGGACCAGUGUACACCGUGGCCCCUAGAGAUGGGGAAGGGCCAACCAGGCAGGUCCACCGGUCCGAGCUGAGGGCUGUUCCAGAAGGGUUGCAGUCAGAGGCAGAGGCGGCUACUCCUUCUACAAGCCACGCUGGCCGGCCCGGUGACCCCCAAUUCUGUGAAGAUGAAGGACAAGAUGUGGUCAUUUUACAACCGGACGAGACUCAGGAGGCCCUGGAUUACCCCCACCCCCUUGCUCUCGCUGAGGUGGAGACCAUACCUGGAGAGGAGGCUGAAGCCCUGCGGCGCUCGGCCAGAUCGACAGCAGGUCAGCAUUCCAACCCCUACCGGCUCCCUCAAUCCGUUUCCACCAGGAAUGAAGAGGGGUCACUGUCAGAGGGCGCAGACCUAGACCGGGGAGUGUGAAUUGCCAUCGUCGGGUCGCCGAUUCAUUUGGAGGGGGUGGAUUGUAGCCUGGGCACCAGGUUAGGACUAGGCUCCAUUAGUCUCCCUCCAUCGUUUGUGCGCUCUCUUCCCAGUGCCAAUCACGUCACUAAUUGGGGGGUGGAGUGGGCAUCUGGUAGGCCACCUAAAUGCCGUAGAGGUAGGCGUGUAGAUAUAUAUAUAUAGACACCUGGGGUCCUUAUGCCGGUAUGUUAUCACUCUGCUGCUGGCACUGGUGUGAGGAAGCAGUGAUGUGGGUGCUGUCUCGAACUACAAAGUGUGUAUGGGGAAGCAGACGCUGAUUGAACCGCGGUGUACCAGUGUUUUGCGUGAUCAUUUCCAUGGACAAGCACCCGCUGGGUAUUGUGGCUGUCGUGGGGUACCUGCUAUAAACGUAGCGUUCCUUGCAUCCGGUAACGUGAGCGGCAGACUGUUUAACUGCAACCAGCAUUUGGAGUGUUGCUGUUGCUGUUCUCUACACGUAUGAUUGUGGUGGUGAUUAUUGUUUAACUAGAUUUUGGUUUGUUUCUCCUCUAGCCUGUUGAUCGUAACGAGUAUUGUAGUGAGAGUGCAGUUAUUGUACAUCACAGGCUAGAGUGGUUUCAUCAUUCCUUUGUUUUGUCCCCCCUCCCUCUCGUGUAGC